CAAAGGCCUGGGAAAAAGCUACCCCUGCAGCCAGCACCGCUCUCCUAGCCCUGUGCAGGCACUUAGUGUGGAAAUGAGUGUCUGUCUGCUGUGAAAUUGCCCUUGGAAUAGCUUAUUCACAAGCCCAAACCUGGUAAUGCAGUGGAUUCCUUUAUAGCCAACGCUCCUUCACAGCAAUACCUGGUAAGAGCAACAAACCCUGACCCGCUGUGUUUCCCCUGGAAAUGUUUUCUGUACCAUGUAUUACAAGGGUGCUCCCUAUAACAGCAAGAGUCACUUAGGAGUCUCAGAAUUGCAGAACACCAAUAUGUUACUAAUGUGUCAGUUAUCUUACUUUGAUACGCUCUUCCUAAGACAUCAGUACACAAGUGGUCUUGCAUGCUGGCGUGUUCAUGAUUAAAAAUGAUCACAACAACAACCCAGAUACUGCAGCAACAAGUGUGUACGCAACUCGGACCUGGAAGGUUUCUCUGUGGUGUUAGACAUACAACCACAUCACAGAAUACCAACGUGAGAUCACAGCCCAAGCAAACCACUAGAGUUUAGGCAGAUGCACAAACACAGCACCAAGCAGACAACCCUUUGACAGGCUAGAGAUCUAAUUAGUAUAAUUCCAUAAACAAUGGUUAUAGCUGCUGCUGGUCUGUCUCACUUGAUCGUGUGGGUGUGUAUUUGUACCGGAGAAACACAAAGAGUGUGCUUAUAUGGGCUGGCACUUUUGCUUCCCAGCUAGCAGCCCAGUGGGAGAGCAGUGGGGGGAAGGGAGGGGAUGAAAAACCUAUUUUCUUUCCUUUCCUUGGGGAGUGCAAAAUAAUUUUAAAAAAUCCUCUGCUUGGCAUCAUUAGCCUCCUGCAUAUCUCUUCCUACUAGAAAAAAAAUUUAGUACGCUGGAAAAAACAGUGCUCGACUGUUCUGACAGUACAAUAACACUUAAUGCCUCUGCUGUUUGGUCCAAUAUUGUAUCACAGGCAUCACCCUCUGUUGUGUUUCCCAGCAUGCCCUAGCAUUCCUUCAAACAAGUAUUCACUUUAGCAGAAAGUCCAAGAAAAGGCUUGCUCCCUUGAGGAUCAAGAAGAAAGAAACAGCUAAGAAAGGACCGACAGCAGCACGAAGAAUACAGAAUCCAGAUAAAGAGGGAAAUGAGGAGGUGGAGGUGAGCAGGAGACAGCUAAGAAAACUGCACAGGCAGUGGGGAAUUUUUUUUUUUCCCUGCCUAGACACACACGGACAAAGAGGCAGCAACUGGGCCAUCUGCAUCUUAUCUGAAACACAAAUAAAGGACAGAGCUGAGACAAAAAGGAAAUCCACCCAGGGGCUGCUUGUUUUGGCUCUCACAUCAGUGAUGUGCAGGUUGAAUGCCUGCUGUGCGAGGAGAAGAGAGCUACUGAAGGUAUUGUUGCAUUUUAGGAGAAGCAACAGCUAGGGAGCAUGCGAAUCCUCGUGCCUGGGUUUUUCUGUCCUACUGACACAGAGAAAAGGCAACAAAUUGCAUCUGAAUGAGGCUGCUAACAAGGAAAAAUGGAAAUACCUAAAGGCCUAUUCUAGUUCUGCCUUUGUCUCGGGUGCUUUGUAAUUACCCCAUCACAAUCCCACUAUAUUGCACUGUAGAGCUGGCUGGGAAUUUUAUAACUAAACUUUUUGGGGGGAAGGUGAGGCAAUCAAAGCAGAAACUUUUUUCCAUGAAUCUACCAGUUCCUAUGAAACUUUUCUUGGGAAAGGUGACUUGGGUCUAGGAUAGAAGGUCUGCCCAGAAAUGAGGAGACGAAAACCUCCAGUAAUUACAGGCAGUUGAUCAUCCUAGCCACCAAGGGAUUGGCUAACGGGCUUUCUCACAAGCUUUAAAGGCCUUGCUGUGGUCUCUGUAUGGAAUGGGAAGAGUUUUACAGGACAGGAAAACUGUAUGCAACCCAGCACCACUGGAUGGCACAGAGAGGAUAUUGUGGUUUUAAAAUACGUGUAUGUAUGCAUACAGCCGACAGCAAAACGUUCACUGGUGUAACCGAAGACAGGAACCGUCAGCCUUUAUGCCACAUUUAUCUCGGAUGCAGCUCUGCUGGCCAGAGCAUAAAUUUUAAUCUUUCUGCUCUCAGCAUCACCAGUGCCGCUGCUCUCCAUUUACCCGGGCGUAACUAAAAGUCUGAGCCAAAGUCUAUGGGAAUGUUUCCAUUUCCCUCAAUUGGCUUCAGUGCAGUGCAGAAAUUAGCCGUGUAUCUGCUCUCUUGUAUGACUUCCAGUCAGAGCAAGCUGGCUUAGCUAACUCUAACAAAGCGAGCAAGCUGCCCUCUGUUUUGCUUCAUGCAUCAUCGACAACGUAAUCUCUCUUCCAUUCGAAUAGCAGGACUUAUAUGAUACUCAUGUGGAAAAGUCAGAACAAACCACAAAGGAUUUGCUUCCUUUUAAAAAGGCCUAGCUGAUUGAAGGCAUCCAUGUUUCAUGAUAUUAGAAUAGUGUCAUUACCUUACAAUGACUUUAUUUUUUUUUAGACUCACCAUCUCAGAGACUUGUAGACAGAGGGACAAAAAUGGUUAUGCCUAUGUAACAGAGAUUCUUAAGCCAAAGUCCAUUUAUCCCAAAAUGGCUACAGAUGAUUUAUUGGGCAAGAAACUAGAGACAAAAAGCAGUGUAAGCAAGCCAGUUACCCGCACUGCAAACAGGAGAAAUGUUAGAUCCUGAACAGAAAUCGGCUAGCAGCCUGCUGAGGUAAUCUCUGCAUCAUCUGCUUCAAACUAAUACAUUGUAAUCCCCAGUAUUACAAGAGGAAGAUAAGACUUAAAAAAAAAAGAAAAAAGAAGAAGACAGAGAGGAUGCUGGAUCUCUGCUUCUUAUGGCAUUCACAGUGCUACAGUCUGCGUGCGUGUUUUGAUAGGAAUAAUGCAUAUCAGUCUGGUCACAAGCAAAAAAAAAAAAAAUCUAGAGCAGUGAAGAAGGAUCCAGGUAGCAGAAUGACUGGGUCAGCUGGAGACAGAGCUACGUUCCAGGACACGGCGUGGGGUGUGAUUGGAAAGGCAUACAGAGUCACUGGCAGGAGAUAAUAAUAGAUGCCCAAUAAGAACCUGGAGAAUCUCCAAAUAAGUCAAGGAGUUCCAACUGCUGAAACUUCCUUAGCCUGACGAAGGGUUUUUGAACCAUUAAGCUUGCUUAAUAACUAUUCUCCAACUAUUUGGGUUGGUCUAAUAAAAGAUAUCAAAUUCACCCAGGGAA